rnacentral:rRNA from 1 species
CACCAGGUUGAUUCUGCCUGACGUAUGCGCUUGUCUUGAAGAUUUAGCCAUGCAAGCCAGCGAAGCACUUGUUGUGGAGCGGCAGACAGCUCAGUAAUACAGUUAUGAUUUACCCGUAGAAGUGGGAUAACCUUGGUAAGCUAAGGCUAAGACCACGUAGCGAAUAGAACUUGUGAGCAAGCUAUUCGUGAUACGGCUAAGUUUCUGGCCUAUUAGCUAGUUGGUAGGGUAAGGGCCUACGAAGGCGAUGAUGGGUAACGGAGAAUCAGGGUUUGAUUCCGGAGAGGGAGCCUGAGAAAUAGCUCCCACGUCCAAGGAUGGCAGCAGGCGCGAAACUUACCCAAUAUAGUAUGAUGAGGUAGUGAAGAGACAUGACUUUUGUAAUGAGUGGUGCGUAAAGACCAUCACGAAUAACUGGAGGGCAAGUCUGGUGCCAGCAGCCGCGG